UACAGAGGUCCCAAGCGUUGUUCGGAUUCACUGGGCGUAAAGGGUGCGUAGGUGGUGAGGUAAGUCGGAUGUGAAAGCUCCGAGCUCAACUCGGAAAUGGCAUUGGAAACUACCUUGCUCGAGGGUUUGAGGGGGGACUGGAAUACUUGGUGUAGCAGUGAAAUGCGUAGAUAUCAAGUAGAACACCAGUGGCGAAGGCGAGUCCCUGGAAAACUCCUGACACUGAGGCACGAAAGCUAGGGGAGCAAACAGGAUUAGAAACCCCAGUAGUCC
rnacentral:rRNA from 1 species